UACGUAGGCAGCGAGCGUUGUUCGGAAUUACUGGGCGUAAAGAGCGUGUAGGCGGUUUGGUAGGUCCGCUGUGAAAACUCGAGGCUUAACCUCGAGAUGUCAUCGGAAACCAUCUGGCUAGAGUCCGGAAGAGGAAAGUGGAAUUCCUGGUGUAGCGGUGAAAUGCGCAGAUAUCGGGAAGAACACCCGUGGCGAAGGCGGCUCUCUGGGACGGUACUGACGCUGAGACGCGAAAGCGUGGGGAGCGAACAGG
rnacentral:rRNA from 1 species